rnacentral:rRNA from 1 species
GAUGAACGCUAGCGGCAGGCCUAACACAUGCAAGUCGAGGGAGAAGCCCUUUCGGGGGCAGAAACCGGCGCACGGGUGCGUAACGCGUAUGCAACCUACCUUUCACAGGGGGAUAGCCCGAAGAAAUUUGGAUUAAUACCCCAUAAUAUUGUUGGAUGGCAUCAUUUGGCAAUUAAAGCUACGACGGUGGAAGAUGGGCAUGCGUCCUAUUAGCUAGUUGGAGUGGUAACAGCACCCCAAGGCUACGAUAGGUAGGGGUCCUGAGAGGGAGAUCCCCCACACUGGUACUGAGACAGGGACCAGACUCCUACGGGAGGCAGCAGUGAGGAAUAUUGGUCAAUGGUCGGAAGACUGAACCAGCCAUGCCGCGUGCAGGAAGAAUGCCUUAUGGGUUGUAAACUGCUUUUAUAUGGGAAGAAUAAGG